GGCUCCUCGUGGAUGCAAAGAUGGGGAGUCGGACCUGCCCAGUGAAUUUUUUAACGGCCGCGGUACUCUGACCGUGCAAAGGUAGCAUAAUCAUUUGCCUUAUAAUUGAAGGCUAGUAUGAAUGGUUUGACAAGAGUAUAGCUGUCUCUUUAUGAUUCUAUAGAAUUUUAUAUUUAGGUGAAGAAGCCUAGCUAUGAUUAAAAGACAAGAAGACCCUAUCGAGCUUUAAAAGAACAAAUAGGAUAAUUUAUUUAUAAUAUUAAAAAGUUUUCUAUUAAAUAUUUUAGUUGGGGCGACUUAGGAACAAAGGAAGCUUCCUUUAAAUUGAAUUAUUAAUAGAUAAAGAUCCAAAAGUUUUGAUUAAAAGAAUUAGCUACCGUAGGGAUAACAGCAUUAUCUUUUUUGAGAGCUCUCAUCGAAAAAAAGGUUUGUGACCUCGAUGUUGGACCAGAAUAUCCCAAAGAUGCAGCAGUCUUUAAAGGUUGGUCUGUUCGACCAUUAAAAUUCUACGGGCUCUUUGUAAAAUAAAAAUAGGGAGUCGUACCUGCCCGGUGAAUUAUUUUAACGGCCGCGGUACUCUGACCGUGCAAAGGUAGCAUAAUCAUUUGCCUUAUAAUUGAAGGCUAGUAUGAAUGGUUUGACAAGAAUAUAACUGUCUCUUUUUAAUUGAUUAAAAUUUUAUUUGCAAGUGAAGAAGCUUGCAUGUGAUUGAUAGACAAGAAGACCCUGUCGAGCUUUAAAGAAAUUGGUGGAUUAAAGUUAAUAGAUUUAGAAAAUAUAACUGUUGUAUAUUUUAGUUGGGGCGACUGAGGAACAAGUAAAGCUUCCUUUUAUAAAAAUGCAAAUUAGCAAUGAGCCAAAAAAUUUUGAUCAAAAGAAUUAGUUACCGCAGGGAUAACAGCAUAAUCCUCUUUGAGAGUUCAUAUCGAAAGGGGGGUUUGUGACCUCGAUGUUGGACCAGAAUAUCCUAAAGAUGCAGCCGUCUUUAAGGGUUGGUCUGUUCGACCAUUAAAAUUCUACG
rnacentral:rRNA from 1 species